AUGGCGGAGACGGUGCUAAGCAUGGCGAGGUCCAUGCUGGGGGGUGCCAUCAGCACGGCCGCCUCUGCCGCGGCCGCCGAGCUGAGCUUGGUGAUGGGUGUGCAGAAGGAUAUUUGGUUCAUCAAAGACGAGCUAGAGACAAUGCAUGCAUUCCUGGUGGCCGCUGAAGCAAUGAAGGAAAAGGACAUGCUACUUAAGGUGUGGGCGAGGCAAGUAAGGGACCUAUCCUAUAAUAUUGAAGAUUGCCUUGGUGAAUUCAUGUUGCAUGUGGCAAGCCAAAGUUUGUCGCAGAAACUGAUGAAACUCAAAGAUCGUCAUCGAAUCGCCAUGCAAAUCCGUGAUCUCAAAUCGAGAGUUGAAGAAGUGAGCAGCAGGAAUACACGCUACAACCUAAUUGAGAAGAACCAAAUCACCAGAACCAUCGAUGAAAGGUAUUCUUGCAUGGAAGAUAUCCGCAACCAGUCAGCUAGCAACAUUGAUGAAGCUGAACUUGUGGGGUUUUCCAAGCCCAAACAAGAUUUGAUAAAACAUAUAGACGUAGGUGCCAACAAUGGCUCUACUCAAGUAGUAUGCGUACUCGGCAUGGGCGGUUUGGGUAAGACUACUCUUGCAAGGAAGGUUUAUGAAAGUAUGAAAGACUUUACAUGUUGUGCUUGGAUCACCGUCUCGCAGUCAUUUGUCAGGAUGGAGCUUCUAAAAGUUAUGAUCAAAGAACUUUUCGGCAAUGAAGCAUUGAAGAAGCAAUUUGAAGGGAAUGUUAUGUUAUGCGAGAAGAGAACCUUGCCAACUACCUCAACAAAGAGCUACUUGAGAAGAGGAGGCAAUGGAGCAAUUCUGCUAGAUGAGGUUUGA
rnacentral:rRNA from 1 species